GGGUUCGUAACUCAGUGGUAGAGUGCCUGCUUUGCAUCUCGCGAUUGCAUGAAGUCCAGGGUUCGAUCCCCUGCGGAUCCA
rnacentral:tRNA from 2 species